rnacentral:lncRNA from 1 species
ACCUGAGCAAAGAAACACGCCCAGGCCCUUCCGAGUGGUUGAGGCUUGAAAAGUAAAGGCAGAUAGUGGAGAGUUUUUAAAUAUGAGACAAGAGUACUGGGUGGUGGCUAGGACCAUGGGGUCUCACCUGGCUCUGCCACCACCCCUCCUAGUGACUUUGAGUAAGUAGGUCACUCCACUGUUUGUGCCUCAGGGUGAUUAUCUGUAAAAGGCAAAUACAAUAGUACUUUGCGGAGUUUUGUGAGGAUUAAGUAGGAUGAUAUGAGUAAGCACUUAAAAUGGUACCUCACCUAUAAUGAGAGCUUAAAAAAUAUUAGCUGUUAUCAUUAUUAUAUUAAGAUGUGAACAGAGCUCACUGGGGAGUCAUCCUAAAGUUAAGACCCAAAGGCUCAGAAGGCUUUUAAAUAAAUUAGCUGGAGGAAAAAAUAGAUUCCUUGAAAAAAUUCAGGAAAUUUCCCUUUAAAAAACAAAAAGGCUUAGUUACAACCCCCACACACCUGCUGGCAGGUGGAGCCAGUCACAGCAGGAGAAGGAAGAUGCCUGGAGCUUCUCAGGAGCAUGGCUCAGACCUCCUCAUGUCUUCUCCCACACGAUUUAAAUUUAGAAUCCUAUUCAGAGGACAAUUAACCAAAGCUAAGUAUACUGUCGUGCCUAGGGUCAUGAACUAGAACCAAGCCAACUUGGCCUUUAUUGGAACAGUGAACUUGGGGCUCCAGCUCUUGAGCCAGCAAGCAAAUGACCUGUUGACUUAAGCAAGUUUCAACUUUCACCCUCAUCUCAGAGCUCUGGUCUUUCAUCUCUGAAGAAGGCGGUGGGAAACAAAUGUUAUUUCUCCUCUUCAUACUCCUUUUCUCAUUUAUUCUGCAGGAAAGAAAUGGUGUAUCAUUUCACUGUGUACCCUGCAGGGAAAUAAAGGUUCUGCCCUACCUACCAAGAUCAUAUUGCCGUAGCAUCAAAAAGCCCCAUACAAAAUAAAAGCUUUCAAAACACAGCAUGGUAUUAAAAGGACAUCUGUAUUUUAAAAGUCUCGUUUAUUUUGUUUACUGCUGAAUCUCCAUUGCCAGACACUGCCAGGCACACAGUAGGUGGUGACUUAUAUUUAAUGGACUAUUUAAUGAAUGAAUAAUAUUGGCACAUUGCGAUUCCGUAGAUCUAGUUGAGAUUCAGGCACAGAGGGACAUGAAGGCCAUGUGCUCAACAGCAUGUCUUAGGAGGCCACUGGCUCCUGUGAUAGCCUGGGCUGGCCAUCCUAGGCUUGUUCCUGGGCAAAGUCUUGCUUGCUAGAGAAAUAUCAUCCCCUGAGAAUGAGGAUAGCUUUAGGAUAUGUGCACACUGUUCUAAUUCUACCAUUUGAGCAACUCUAAGACAAGGAGUGAUCCUUUGUUGUGACACAAACAAUCCCAAGGAAUUUUGUUGCUCUCUUUAGGCCAAAGAUUGUGUGUAAUAAAUUUCUGGAGAAAACACACUGUUAAGGCUGGGCAUGGAGGCUCAUGCCUGUGAUCCCAGCACUUUGGGAGGCCAAGGCUGGAGGAUUGCUUGAGCCCAGGAGUUCAAGACCAGCCUAAGCAAUAUAGUGAGACCCCCUAUGUCUACAAAAAAAAAAAAAAAAAAAAAAAGAAAGAAAAACUAGCUGGAUGUAGUGGCAUGCACCUGUAGUCCCAGCUACUCAGGAAGCUGAGGUGGGAGGAUGGCUUGAGCCCAGGAAGUGGAGGUUGCAGUAAGCUGUUAUUGCACCACCACACUCAACCUGGGCAAUAGAGCAAGACCCUGUCACCAAAAAAAAAAAAAAAAAAAAAAAAAGAGAGAGAGAGAGAGAGAGAGAAAUAAUCAACUUUACCUGACAUUUGUAGAAUACUUCAUCCAAUAACCAGGAGAAUAUACACUCUUCUUAAGCACACAUGGAAUAUCAUCCAAAAUAGGUGAUAUUCUAGGCUAUGGGUUAGUAAAUUACAGGCCAGGGGGCAGCUGCCUAGUUUUUUUUAAACCAUUUUUAAGUGUUCAACUGAGUAACAUUAAUUAUAUUCAAAACGUUGUACAAUCAUUACCACUAUCUAUACCCAAAACUUUUUCGUCACUCCCAAUGUAAACUCUAUCCAUUAAACAAUCCAUUCCAGACUCUCUCCAGCCCCUCUACUUUCUGUCUCUAUGAGUUUGUCUAUUCUAGAUAUUUCAUAUAAGUGAAACUAUAUAAUAUUUAUCCUUUUAUUUCUGGCUUAUUUCACUUAGCAUAAUGUUUUCAAUGUUCAUCCAUAUUGUAGCAAAUG